rnacentral:rRNA from 1 species
UCUGGAGGGACUGCGGAGACAUUACCUAGAGUUGUAGGCUUUGCCUGCUAUCUCUUACCCAUGUCUUUUGAGUACCUUACGUUUCCUCGGUGGGUUCGCCCACCGAUUGGACAAAUUUAAACCCUUUGCAGUUGAAAUCAGCGUCUGAAAAAACUUAAUAGUUACAACUUUCAACAACGGAUCUCUUGGUUCUGGCAUCGAUGAAGAACGCAGCGAAAUGCGAUAAGUAGUGUGAAUUGCAGAAUUCAGUGAAUCAUCGAAUCUUUGAACGCACAUUGCGCCCCUUGGUAUUCCAUGGGGCAUGCCUGUUCGAGCGUCAUUUGUACCUUCAAGCUCUGCUUGGUGUUGGGUGUUUGUCUCCUGUAGACUCGCCUUAAAACAAUUGGCAGCCGGCGUAUUGAUUUCGGAGCGCAGUACAUCUCGCGCUUUGCACUCAUAACGACGACAUCCAAAAGUACAUUUUUACACUCUUGACCUCGGAUCAGGUAGGGAUACCCGCUGAACUUAAGCAUAUCAA